GAAAAGUCAGUGUUUACUACAAAAAGCCUGAAGGGACUUAUACUCAUCAGAACAAAGACAAUAUGCCUAGCCAACUCCUGAAAAACUGCCAGAUACCAUUAUCCCUCCUCCACCAACUUUUACAAUUGGCACAAUCAGGCAGUUCAUGUUCUCCUGGCUUCCACCAAACCCAGACUCACCCAUCAGACUGCCAAACAGAAAAAAUGUGCUUCAUCACUCCACAGAACACUUUUCCACUGCUCCAGAGUCCAUUGGCAGAGUGCUUUACACCACUCGACCCCACAUGUGGCAUUGUACUUGGUGAUGUGAGGCUUGCAUGCAGCUGCUCGGCAUGGAAACUCAUUCCAUGAAGCUACCCCCAUACAGUUUUUGUGCUGAUUAAUGCGAGUGGAAGUUUGGAACUCUUCAGCUAUGGAUUCAGUAGUGUUU